rnacentral:rRNA from 1 species
UGAACGCUAUCGACAGGCUUAACACAUGCAAGUCGAGGGGCAGCACAGGUAGCAAUACCGGGUGGCGACCGGCGCACGGGUGAGUAACGCGUAUGCAACUUACCUAUCAGAGGGGGAUAACCCGGCGAAAGUCGGACUAAUACCGCAUGAAGCAGGGGCCCCGCAUGGGGAUAUUUGCUAAAGAUUCAUCGCUGAUAGAUAGGCAUGCGUUCCAUUAGGCAGUUGGCGGGGUAACGGCCCACCAAACCGACGAUGGAUAGGGGUUCUGAGAGGAAGGUCCCCCACAUUGGUACUGAGACACGGACCAAACUCCUACGGGAGGCAGCAGUGAGGAAUAUUGGUCAAUGGCCGAGAGGCUGAACCAGCCAAGUCGCGUGAGGGAUGAAGGUUCUAUGGAUCGUAAACCUCUUUUAUAAGGGAAUAAAGUGCGGGACGUGUCCCGUUUUGUAUGUACCUUAUGAAUAAGGAUCGGCUAACUCCGUGCCAGCAGCCGCGGUAAUACGGAGGAUCCGAGCGUUAUCCGGAUUUAUUGGGUUUAAAGGGUGCGUAGGCGGCCUUUUAAGUCAGCGGUGAAAGUCUGUGGCUCAACCAUAGAAUUGCCGUUGAAACUGGGGGGCUUGAGUAUGUUUGAGGCAGGCGGAAUGCGUGGUGUAGCGGUGAAAUGCAUAGAUAUCACGCAGAACCCCGAUUGCGAAGGCAGCCUGCCAAGCCAUUACUGACGCUGAUGCACGAAAGCGUGGGGAUCAAACAGGAUUAGAUACCCUGGUAGUCCACGCAGUAAACGAUGAUCACUAGCUGUUUGCGAUACACUGUAAGCGGCACAGCGAAAGCGUUAAGUGAUCCACCUGGGGAGUACGCCGGCAACGGUGAAACUCAAAGGAAUUGACGGGGGCCCGCACAAGCGGAGGAACAUGUGGUUUAAUUCGAUGAUACGCGAGGAACCUUACCCGGGUUUGAACGCAUUCGGACCGAGGUGGAAACACCUUUUCUAGCAAUAGCCGUUUGCGAGGUGCUGCAUGGUUGUCGUCAGCUCGUGCCGUGAGGUGUCGGCUUAAGUGCCAUAACGAGCGCAACCCUUGCCACUAGUUACUAACAGGUAAAGCUGAGGACUCUGGUGGGACUGCCAGCGUAAGCUGCGAGGAAGGCGGGGAUGACGUCAAAUCAGCACGGCCCUCACAUCCGGGGCGACACACGUGUUACAAUGGCGUGGACAAAGGGAGGCCACCUGGCGACAGGGAGCGAAUCCCCAAACCACGUCUCAGUUCGGAUCGGAGUCUGCAACCCGACUCCGUGAAGCUGGAUUCGCUAGUAAUCGCGCAUCAGCCAUGGCGCGGUGAAUACGUUCCCGGGCCUUGUACACACCGCCCGUCAAGCCAUGGGAGCCGGGGGUACCUGAAGUCCGUAACCGAAAGGAUCGGCCUAGGGUAAAACUGGUGACUGGGGCU